rnacentral:rRNA from 1 species
GAUGAACGCUGGCGGCGUGCCUAAUACAUGCAAGUCGAGCGAACAGACGAGGAGCUUGCUCCUCUGACGUUAGCGGCGGACGGGUGAGUAACACGUGGAUAACCUACCUAUAAGACUGGGAUAACUUCGGGAAACCGGAGCUAAUACCGGAUAAUAUAUUGAACCGCAUGGUUCAAUAGUGAAAGACGGUUUUGCUGUCACUUAUAGCUGGUUCCGGGCCGCAUUAGCUAGUUGGUAAGGUAACGGCUUACCAAGGCAACGAUGCGUAGCCGACCUGAGAGGGUGAUCGGCCACACUGGAACUGAGACACGGUCCAGACUCCUACGGGAGGCAGCAGUAGGGAAUCUUCCGCAAUGGGCGAAAGCCUGACGGAGCAACGCCGCGUGAGUGAUGAAGGUCUUCGGAUCGUAAAACUCUGUUAUUAGGGAAGAACAAAUGUGUAAGUAACUAUGCACGUCUUGACGGUACCUAAUCAGAAAGCCACGGCUAACUACGUG